AGCGAACGCUAGCGGCGGGCCUAACACAUGCAAGUCGAGCGGAGGGAGCAAUCCUUCAGCGGCGGACGGGUGAGUAACGCGUAGGUAAUGUACCUUCUGGUGGGGAAUAACCGUGGGAAACCAUGGCUAAUACCGCAUAUCGUCCUUACGGAUGAAAGCCUUCGGGCGCCCAGAAGAGCAGCCUGCGUCCCAUUAUUUAGUCCUAGUUGGUGAGGUAACGGCUCACCAAGGGUACGAUGGGUAGCUGGUCUGAGAGGAUGAUCAGCCACACUGGAACUGAGACACGGUCCAGACUCCUACGGAGGCAGCAGUGGGGAAUAAUUGCGCAAUGGCGAAAGCCUGAUCCAGCCAUGCCGCGUGCAGGAA
rnacentral:rRNA from 1 species